AACGAACGCUGGCGGCAGGCUUAACACAUGCAAGUCGAACGCCCCGCAAGGGGAGUGGCAGACGGGUGAGUAACGCGUGGGAAUCUACCCAGAUCUACGGAACAACAGUUGGAAACGACUGCUAAUACCGUAUACGCCCUACGGGGGAAAGAUUUAUCGGAUUUGGAUGAGCCCGCGUUGGAUUAGCUUGUUGGUGGGGUAAUGGCCUACCAAGGCGACGAUCCAUAGCUGGUCUGAGAGGAUGAUCAGCCACACUGGGACUGAGACACGGCCCAGACUCCUACGGGAGGCAGCAGUGGGGAAUAUUGGACAAUGGGCGCAAGCCUGAUCCAGCCAUGCCGCGUGAGUGAUGAAGGCCUUAGGGUUGUAAAGCUCUUUCAGUAGGGAAGAUAAUGACGGUACCUACAGAAGAAGCCCCGGCUAACUUCGUGCCAGCAGCCGCCGUAAGAC
rnacentral:rRNA from 1 species